GAGCCACGCGCUGUGCUUCCCGGCGGUGCAGCGUCUGGCCUACUCUACCUGUUCAGUGCACCGAGAGGAGAACGAGGAUGUGGUGCACGCAGUGCUGCAGGAGCAGGGAUCGGCCUUCAGGCUGGUGAAUGCGUUCCCAUCCUGGCCCUGCCGAGGACUUGCUACCUUCCCAGGGGCUGAGUGCUGCCUCCGCGCCUCUCCUGCAGAUACACUCACACAGGGCUUCUUUGUGGCUGUCCUGGAGCGCUGUGGGGAGGAAACUGCUGUCCCCAGCUCCCUGCCUGCAGCCACUGAAGAGAGUCUACAACAAGAAGAGGGAGUAGAGCCAGGAGCAGCUCCUCCCAAGAAGAGGAGGAGGAAAAAGCAACGUGUGAAGAUGUGAAAGAAUUCUAGGAGUGUGCGGUGCCUUUUUGAGGCUGGUUUCUGGUGCUGGGCUGUGCUGCGGCCCUGGCGCCGAGUAACAGAAAUAAAGCUUUUCACCAGCUGCUGGCUUGGUGAGCU
rnacentral:lncRNA from 1 species